CUCGGUCAUCAGAGCGGCGUGGAACUACUCCUUUCCAUUCCGAACAGGACCGUAAAACGCGCCAGCGCCGACAAUAGCUGAGCCGCAAGGUUCCGUGAAGAUAGGUCAUGGCCGAGA
rnacentral:rRNA from 1 species